rnacentral:rRNA from 1 species
UGAACUCCACAUCCGCAUCCUUUGCUGAGGAUACGGUUAACGGAGCGAAAGCGACGUUCAACCGCAAAACAAGCAGAGGGGGCUUAGUGGUGGGGUGACUGCGUACCUUUUGUAUAAUGGGUCAGCGACUUAUAUUCUGUAGCAAGGUUAACCGUAUAGGGGAGCCGGAGGGAAACCGAGUCUUAAUUGGGCGUUAAGUUGCAGGGUAUAGACCCGAAACCCGGUGAUCUAGCCAUGGGCAGGUUGAAGGUUGGGUAACACUAACUGGAGGACCGAACCGACUAAUGUUGAAAAAUUAGCGGAUGACCUGUGGCUGGGGGUGAAAGGCCAAUCAAACCGGGAGAUAGCUGGUUCUCCCCGAAAGCUAUUUAGGUAGCGCCUCGUGAAUUCAUCUCCGGGGGUAGAGCACUGUUUCGGCUAGGGGGCCAUCCCGGCUUACCAACCCGAUGCAAACUGCGAAUACCGGAGAAUGUUAUCACGGGAGACACACGGCGGGUGCUAACGUCCGUCGUGAAGAGGGAAACAACCCAGACCGCCAGCUAAGGUCCCAAAGUCAUGGUUAAGUGGGAAACGAUGUGGGAAGGCCCAGACAGCCAGGAUGUUGGCUUAGAAGCAGCCAUCAUUUAAAGAAAGCGUAAUAGCUCACUGGUCGAGUCGGCCUGCGCGGAAGAUGUAACGGGGCUAAACCAUGCACCGAAGCUGCGGCAGCGAACGUAUCACCCAAGACAACUUUACGGAGUUGACGAUUGACGGAGCGAAGCGACGUCAAAGCGUUCAUUAAAGUCGAGUUGGCUUAGGGAUACGUUCGUUGGGUAGGGGAGCGUUCUGUAAGCCUGUGAAGGUGUGUCGUGAGGCAUGCUGGAGGUAUCAGAAGUGCGAAUGCUGACAUAAGUAACGAUAAAGCGGGUGAAAAGCCCGCUCGCCGGAAGACCAAGGGUUCCUGUCCAACGUUAAUCGGGGCAGGGUGAGUCGACCCCUAAGGCGAGGCCGAAAGGCGUAGUCGAUGGGAAACGGGUUAAUAUUCCCGUACUUGGUGUUACUGCGAAGGGGGGACGGAGAAGGCUAUGUUGGCCGGGCGACGGUUGUCCCGGUUUAAGCGUGUAGGUGUGUGUUCCAGGUAAAUCCGGUUCACUUUAACACUGAGGCGUGACGACGAGGCACUACGGUGCUGAAGCAACAAAUGCCCUGCUUCCAGGAAAAGCCUCUAAGCAUCAGGUAACACGAAAUCGUACCCCAAACCGACACAGGUGGUCAGGUAGAGAAUACCAAGGCGCUUGAGA